UACAGAGGGGGCAAGCGUUAUUCGGAAUUAUUGGGCGUAAAGGGCGCGUAGGCGGCUUUGCAAGUGGCGGGGGAAAUCCCCCGGCUUAACCUGGGAACUGCGUCUGAUACUGGAAGGCUUGAGUAUGGGAGAGGGAUGUAGAAUUCCAGGUGUAGCGGUGAAAUGCGUAGAUAUCUGGAGGAAUACCGGUGGCGAAGGCGGCAUCCUGGACCAUAACUGACGCUGAGGCGCGAAAGCUAGGGGAGCAAACGGG
rnacentral:rRNA from 1 species